CCCUCACGGUACAACCCCCACGCACAGGCCUGCCAGCUCAUGCUGGCGAUGCUUCCAAGAGGGAAACGGCAGGCAAAACUAGUCUAUAUGUUCGAUGGGGUAGAUGAGGACUGAAUGAUCAGGUGCAGGCAUCACUGGCAGCAGCGUAAGCCAACAUCCGAAGGCCUCGUCCCAGAAAACAGGGAGGAUUCAUUUCAAGCUCUAAGACCGACUGAAGCCUGGCACUCCCUGACAAAUGCAUUCCAGCUGGUUUCAAUCCACACGAGACACCAGUGUGUGUGUGUGUGUGUGUGUUGUGUGUGUGCGCGUGUGUGCGUGUGUGUGUGCGCGCGCGCGCGUGUGUACGUGUGUUUAUGUAUCAGCAUAGUAAAGAAAAGGCACUUGGGAAGCUGCAGACUUCCAUCUCAUCUCUCUUUUGCUCCGCAGCUCUCUCCCAGAGAGGAAGAUGCAUUAAAUGUCAGAGAAGACGUUAACUCUGGGCGGUCCAAGGAGAUGAGAUAAUGGUCAAGUCGUGGGGCUGUGCGUGGUCUGGACCUUGAGGGAAGCAGAUGGCCACAGCCUCCCUGGCGUGACGCCCCCUUCCAGUUAGCAGACUCUAAGUAAACAACUGAUUUCACUAAUCUCAGAGGCCUCCCUCUGGUGUCUGGUAAGCACAGCCUUGCUCUCAGCAUUUGCCUCUUUUCCGUGGCUCCCUUAUGAAAUGUGAUGGGAGCUGCAGAGUUGGAAGGACAAAGGAACUGACUGAAGUUUUCAAAUACAGAAUGAAGAAGAGCAUAAAGAGCUGACUGUCCAGUGACCUUCUGGACAUUGAGACUUGUUUUCCCAUCGAGUUCCUUUAUUAAUUUGGAGAUAACUUCGACUGGAAACCAGAGUAACUUAAGUUAUCCCAAAACUAUAGGUAAGAAUGCAGCAGUGCCUGAAGCAUAAGAAGAGCCGUGAAAUGUUUCUGAUAAAGUAGUAUUAAUCCAUUGUUCACAUAAAAAUAUCUGGAAACUGAAAACACCAUGUCUAAAUUGUGGAAAACAGUACAAAACAGGAAGUUCCUUCUUAUCAGAUUUGGGACAUUUUCUUACUAAUUUUAAGGUACGUUAGCACUGGUGGUUUCACAGCUAACCAAGGCACAGUUUCUAUUUUAGCUUUCUUUUCAGAGCUUCCUUGGACCUUUUAAAGAAUUUACCUCCCUUCAGAGACUACAGUUAUACUUUUGACCACGGGAUGGAGUGAAAAUAAACAACCAAACAAACCAAAGACCCUGGAGGAGGGAGAUCAAGAAAAUAAAAAAUGCGAAGACAAGUGAAAUGGAUCGGGAAGGCCUGGAACUCAAACCACUUAAGGCCGAAGUUCCAACCUGCAAGGGACGGUCAUCAUGACGGCCUGGGGGGAAUCCAGAACGAGAGAGGUGGUCGCUGUAAUGCCAAGAAAGAACAGCUGAGCACCCCACCUAAGAAGGAGAGAGGGAAAUAAGCCAGGAACAGAAGCUGGGACAAGAUAAUGGCAGAGGAGCAGGAGGCGCAGCCCUGUGGCCCCGGCGCUAUGGUUGCCUUUCCAGCAGGCUCCAGAACCAGGUCAAGUCUCUCCAGCCCUCCUAGGGUCAGCCCUCAUCCUAGCUAUCCAUUUGAUAUGCCCUACUCCCUAACAGGCAUCCUUUGACCUAACCUAGAGAGCACCUCACGGUACCUUUAAUUUUUCAUAUUCUUGUCUUUCGUAUUUUUUUUCGGCUUCAGUAACUCUGACCUGAAUCAGAAACCCCAUAGCUCCAGCUUGCACACAAGAAGCAUUCAUGCAUCAAAGGUCUCGAAGAAGAAAUGCAAAUAGUGGCUGUGGUGAAAUUUUUUUUUUUCCAGGAGAUAAAAGAGUAUAGAGAAUUGAUUGGUUGAGAGAAAGAGAGAGAGACUUUAAGACAGAAAAAUCAACGUUCGAGACUAACCAUGAUUCUCACUGGGUAACUCAAGAGCCUUCCACCAAAACUGGCUAUUUUCUCUUCUAGGUGAAUACUUUUACCAGUACAGCUGCCUAAUUACAUGGCAAGUCAAUGUAAACUAACGAGGUUUUCUGUUCCCCAUACCCCUGACAGGGUAUUCUUUACAUUGUAAAUAAUACAUUAAAUUAUAUGUGAUGGACUGAAUAUGAGCAAGAGUUCAUUUCAACAAUGCCCCACUCUGAAACUUCUAGAAGCCCCAGGCCUGUUCCUGUGGAGGAUUGUGAGGCUCUGCUCAUGCCCGGCUGGAGCUGGGAUGCUGCAGAAACGUGCGAGAGGCUGGAAACACCAUGGAGAGAGGGGGCGAGGCCAGGGGAAGGGGAUCAGAAGAAGAAGGGCUGACUCCCAGGGACCAUCGUUAGCUCAGUGAAUGGACUGGAAGCGAAGAGGGGUGUUGAUUAUCUCCCAAAUUCUCUGCAUUUCUGUGUUUGAGUAAUAGAAAAAGUGCUUUCCUUCUGGAAGUAUGCUCUGUCUACUGGUCUUUCCAGAGCGUAUCAGACAAAAUGGAAGGCUACAGAAGCACAGUUCCCCAGGGUGGAGUCAGGUGUUCUGAAGCACUUGUCAUUCCUCAUGCUCUUCUCACUCACCCGCUCAGUCAGCCGUCUGUCUGUCUGUCUGUCUAUCUGUCUGGACUGUACUAUACAUAUUCCCUUAUAACUGGCUCUUUUUACUUAAUGGUAUGUCAUAAUCACAAACUUUUCCCCAGGCGAUUCAGUCAUUUUUCCUCAAAUGUGAUCUUUAAUCCCCACAUUACAAUCUAUCUAUCUCACAGAAGUGCCAAUUUUUCAUUCAUUUUCUUUUUUGGCCAUUCCUUUCAGCUGGGCAUCUAGGGGUCUGAGCAGCAAAUUCAUCUGACCAAAGUUGUUGGAAGAUGGAGUGAAAGACUGAUGCCAAAGCCAUCGUCCCCUCCUUGCUGCAGAGAGGGGGAACCAUGGGCUGCUGCACUGCACCAGCUGAGGCGGGAUCUCACCCCUGGAUGGGUGCUCAGGACACCUGCCAACUCUGAGAGCCUGAGAUUGCUGCCAGUCACCCACACUGGAGCGCUGCAGGAGGAAAAAGCAGACAAGCGACAGGCUCCUGAGCUCCUGCUCUAAAAUCGUGGACUCCUUCCCAGCGGAAAGGGAGUCUUGGUUUUCUGCUUGAAAGGACAACAUGUCCUCGGCCUCACGGUCACCUGCAAAAGGAACUUCCAGUGGACCUAAGUCCACACAGAGAUUGAUGGGUGGGAGAGUGGCACUGCAUGAGGCCCACACUUAAGAUUCGCAGAUGUGCUGCACAUAAUAUCAGCCCUCUGUGUGGUGCAAAUGAAGAAAAUGUUCCGCUCUUAAUUGAGAAUCUAGGUGGAGUCACCCAGCAGGAGGCACAGCCCCAAAAGAGCCGUGGAUGUGGGAGGUGGGCCAGGGCCUGGACAGAAUCAUUUGUGCGAGGGAAAUGAGAGCUCGCUUCUUGAGACUCUUUGUGCUGCGUGGAAGGUGGAACAGAUUCGAAAUCUCAUUACUAUUAUUAGAUGCCCUCAUUUCCUCUUCCACUUCAAAUUUUGUAUUUUUCAAUAAAAUCCACAUUUUCUCCCACA